UACAGAGGGUGCGAGCGUUAAUCGGAAUUACUGGGCGUAAAGCGUGCGUAGACGGCUAUCUAAGUCGGGUGUGAAAGCCCCGGGCUCAACCUGGGAAUUGCAUUCGAGACUGAAUAGCUAGGGUACGGUAGAGGGAAGCGGAAUUUCCGGUGUAGCGGUGAAAUGCGUAGAUAUCGGAAGGAACAUCAGUGGCGAAAGCGGCUUCCUGGACCAGUACCGACGUUCAGGCACGAAAGCGUCGGGGAGCAAACAGG
rnacentral:rRNA from 1 species